rnacentral:rRNA from 1 species
CGGCCGCAGUACCCUGACUGUGCAAAGGUAGCGUAAUAAAUUGAUUUUUAAUUGAAGUCUAGAAUGAAAGAAAAAACGGAAAUAAACUGUCUUACAAUAAAGGAUUUUAAAUUACUUAAAAGGUGAAAAUUCCUUUAAAAAAGAAAAAAGACGAGAAGACCCUAAGAAUUUUAAGAAAUUGAUUAAUGUUAAUUUAAACUUUUUACUGGGGCGGUAAAGGAUAAAAAAACAUCCUAAUUUUUUUAUUUAUCAAGUUUUAUUUUAUUUAAAUAAAUUACCUUAGGGAUAACAGCAUAAUUUAUUUUAAGUUUGUGACCUCGAUGUUGGACUAGGAAAUUUAAGACUAGCUGUCAUAAAAAGUGGUUCUGUUCGAACUUUUUUCUCCUAC